GAUACCAGGCUAGCGGCGGACCGGGUGAGUUACAACGUGGGGGUAACCCUGCCCAAGAGAUCGGGGAGUAACACCUGGGAAACAGAUAGCUAAUACCGGAUAACAACAGAUGAUGCCUAUCAACUGUUUAAAGAUGGUUCUGCUAUCACUCUUGGGAUGGACCUGCGGUGCAUUAGCUAGUUGGUAGGGGUAACGGGCCUACCAAGGCGAUGAUGCAUAGCCCGAGUUGAGAGACUGAUCGGGCCACAUUGGGACUGAGACACGGGCCCAAACUCCUACGGGAGGCAGCAGUAGGGGAAUCUUCCACAAUGGACGCAAAGUCUGAUGGAGCAAAACGCCGCGUGAGUGAAGAAGGGUUUCGGCUCGUAAAAGCUCUGUUGUUGGUGAAGAAGGACAGGGGUAGUAACUGACCCUUUGUUUGACGGUAAUCAAUUUAGAAAGUCACGGGCUAACUACGUGCCCAGCAGCCGCGGUAAAU
rnacentral:rRNA from 1 species